rnacentral:rRNA from 1 species
GUGGGGAAUAUUGCACAAUGGGGGGAACCCUGAUGCAGCGACGCCGCGUGAGUGAAGAAGUAUUUCGGUAUGUAAAGCUCUAUCAGCAGGGAAGAAGAAAAUGACGGUACCUGACUAAGAAGCACCGGCUAAAUACGUGCCAGCAGCCGCGGUAAUACGUAUGGUGCAAGCGUUAUCCGGAUUUACUGGGUGUAAAGGGAGCGCAGGCGGCGCGCUAAGUCUGAUGUGAAAGCCCGGGGCUCAACUCCGGGACUGCAUUGGAAACUGGCGAGCUGGAGUGCCGGAGAGGUAAGCGGAAUUCCUAGUGUAGCGGUGAAAUGCGUAGAUAUUAGGAGGAACACCAGUGGCGAAGGCGGCUUACUGGACGGUGACUGACGCUGAGGCUCGAAAGCGUGGGGAGCAAACAGG